rnacentral:rRNA from 1 species
GACGUAGGGCGCGAGCGUUGUUCGGAAUUACUGGGCGUAAAGGGCGCGUAGGCGGCCUGCUAAGUCACACGUGAAAUCCCUCGGCUCAACCGGGGAACUGCGUGUGAUACUGGCGGGCUUGAAUUCGGGAGAGGGAUGUGGAAUUCCAGGUGUAGCGGUGAAAUGCGUAGAUAUCUGGAGGAACACCGGUGGCGAAGGCGGCAUCCUGGACCGAGAUUGACGCUGAGGCGCGAAAGCUAGGGGAGCAAACGGG